rnacentral:rRNA from 1 species
AACAGGGAUUGCCCUAGUAACGGCGAGUGAAGCGGCAACAGCUCAAAUUUGAAAUCUGGCUCCGCUCUGGGGUCCGAGUUGUACUUUGCAGAGGGCGCUUUGGCGUCGGCAGCGGUCUAAGUUCCUUGGAACAGGACGUCACAGAGGGUGAGAAUCCCGUACGUGGCUGCUUGCCUUCGCCGUGUAAAGCCCCUUCGACGAGUCGUGUUGUUUGGGAAUGCAGCACUAAAUGGGAGGUAAAUUUCUUCUAAAGCUAAAUACCGGCCAGAGACCGAUAGCGCACAAGUAGAGUGAUCGAAAGAUGAAAAGCACUUUGGAAAGAGAGUCAAAAAGCACGUGAAAUUGUUGAAAGGGAAGCGCUUGCAGCCAGACUUGCUUGCGGUUGCUCAUCCGGGCCUGUGCCCGGUGUACUCUUCCGCAGGCAGGCCAGCAUCAGUUUGGGCGACUGGAGAAAGGCCUCUGUCACGUACCUUCCCUCGGGAAGGCCUUAUAGGGGAGGCGUAAUGCAGCCAGUCCAGACUGAGGUCCGCGCAUCUGCUAGGAUGCUGGCGUAAUGGCUGUAAGCGGCCCGUCUUGAAACACGGACCAAGGAGUCUAACAUCUAUGCGAGUGUUUGGGUGUCAAGCCCGAGCGCGUAAUGAAAGUGAACGGAGGUGAGAACCCUCGGGUGCAUCAUCGACCGAUCCUGAUGUCUUCGGAUGGAUUUGAGUAAGAGCAUAGCUGUUGGGACCCGAAAGAUGGUGAACUAUGCUUGAAUAGGGUGAAGCCAGAGGAAACUCUGGUGGAAGCUCGCAGCGGUUCUGACGUGCAAAUCGAUCGUCAAAUUUGGGCAUAGGGGCGAAAGACUAAUCGAACUAUCU